rnacentral:lncRNA from 1 species
CAGCUUUACAUAGUUAAGAAGAAGGAAACCCCGACAGCUCGUAGGCUCAAUUUUCAUGGGCAAAUACAUCUACUAAUCCCACUCUAACUGCGGUGGAUGUUGUUCAUGGAAAUAUUAGUGCAUAAAUGGGUAAGUCCUUACCUUUAUUCUACCUAUUGAACUUGAGGUCAGAUAAUUGUGAAAAUUGAUGACGCAUAUGUGCAAUCCCAAGUAGGUGACAUCCUAAUUGGAUAUUUGAUUAGAGAUACUCCUUAUGAACUAGCUAUGGAUAAUUAUGUUAUAAAUGUGUGGAAUUUAGUCAUGAAGCCUCAAGUAAUCUUAGAUACGUAAGGUUACUAUAUCUUAAAUUUAAGUCCAUAGAGUAUCAAGAUCUGAUUCUACAAUCUGGAUCCUUAACAUUUAGGAAUAGACCUCUAGUGCUUAAACUGUGGGAAAUAGAUUUCCCUUUUGAUCAGGAUUUGCUUAGCACAGUGCCUCUAUGGUGAAAUUCCCUAGAUUACCAGUGGGUUAUUGGUCCAUUGAAUCAUUAAAUAAGGUUGCUAAUGUAGUGGGAAAACCUUUAUAUAUUAAUAAAUUUACUGCUCACUUUGAAAUGAUCUCAUAUGCUAGGGUUCUUAUUGAAGUGGAUGCCUCAUACCCCUUAACUAAUUAUAUGUAUAUUAAAAAUCCUUAUGGUCCCUUAAAGUAGCCUAUUGAGUAUGAUUAAAACCCUAGUUUUUGCAAUAAAUGUAUUAAAUUUGGCCAUGACUCUGCUAAUCACUGGUAUAAUCAGGAAAAUAUUGAGAAGACUACAAUAAUGAAGGAGGAACCAGUACCUAAAAAAAGAGAAGAAAUAAGAAUAAGAAGACUCUUGUUAUUAAAAAAGUGUGGUGUGCACCUAAACCUGAUGAUCUAGUGCAACAAGAAGAGAACUAAGAUUGCCAGCAGUAGUAGAAUAACCUAGUACACAACUAGGUGUAGAGAAACCAUCUUCAAUUGUAUGUCUAGAGUGAAAGAGGCUGUUGUACAUAAUAGCAUCAAUCAACCCAUAGUGGUAUUGCCGGGGUGCCUAAAGAGGAGAAUUUUACUUGCUCUACUUCUAAUGCGUUUGAUCCAUUAUGAAUCUGGGUACCAAAAAUAUUAAGGGCCUGAAUCAGGCCUCUAAAUAGAAAGUGUUGCAACUCUUUCUUAAAAAGAAUAAAGUGGAUGUGUUAGGUCGUACAGUGACUAAAGUUUAGGUACAUUGAGCUCAGAAAAUUCAAUAGAAGUUGGCACAUGGGUGGAAUAUGUAUUGUAACUACCCUAGUAUGCCAAAUAGAAGGUUUUGGUUAUUGUGGAAGAGUAAUAUUCAGGUAUAGAUCCUUGUAGAUUCAGACCAUCUCAUACACUAUGAGGUUGAGGAACAAAGUACUUACUUUUUACUAGUUAACAGUGUGGUGUAUGCACAUAAUAAUAUUCAGUAAAGGGAAAAUUUUUGGAGAGAUCUUCAACAACUAAAUGUUCUUGUGCAAAUGCCAUUGGUUCUUAGUUGAGAUUUUAACAAUGUCCUGAGCUCUAAGGAUAAAAUAGGGUCUCUAGUUACUAUAGCUGAGACUCAAGGAUUUCAAGAUAUGAUUGAUACACUCUAACUCACUCCACUUAAGUCCAAAGAGUGGCAUUUCAGUUGGUGUAAUAAGCAUGGAUAUGCUAGAGUCUAUAACAAGAUUGAUUGGGCCUAGGGCAAUUUUUAAUGGAUUUAGCAGUAUGGAUAUAUAGAGGAAGAUUUCUUGAAUCCUUCAGUGUUUGAUCACUCUUUUAUCCUUAUCAAGCAUGACCUGAUUGUAGUUUUUAAGGAUUUUUUUUGCAAUUGGCAAGAUGCAACAGUUGAUCAACACUACAACUAUCACAUUGGUGCCAAAAGAUCCAUCACCUAGAAAAGUAAACGACUUCAGACCUAUUACCUAUUGUACAACUUAUAUAAAGUGAUAGCUAAGAUUUUAACUAAAAUAAUAAAACUGGUGCUUGAUGGGAUCAUUGGAUCCUUUAAGCCCGCUUUCAUAGGGGGAAGAAGUAUUAUUGACAAUAUUUUAUUUAGUCAUGAAUUGCUUAAUAGUUAUACUAGAAAAUGGAUAUCCCCAAGGUGUGUGUUGAGAUAGAUCUUAGAAAAGCUUAUGAUACACUGGGAUGAAACUUUCUUAGGAAAAUGCUUACUAAUUUGGUUCUCAAUGAAAUUUACACAGUGGAUUAUCACUUAUGUUACUACUGUUUCUUAUUCUUUAGUGCUUAAUAGUGCCUUAACAAAAUCUUUUAAGAGUAAAAAGGGUAUUAGAUAAGAAAAUACAAUAUCACCUUAUUUGUUUAUUAUUGCUACAAAAUAUUUAGGUAGGGAGCUUGGUUAAUUAAAUAAGAAUGGGAAUUUUCGUUUUCAUCCUAAAUGCUGGAAGCUAGAUAGUACCAAAACUACCUUGCGUAUGAUCUUUUCAUAUUUUGUAGGGCAGAUUUGGGUUCUAUUAGGCUCCUUCAUAAGGCUUUCAUUAGGUUUUGUCAUGCCUCUAGAUUAUAAGCAAAUAUGGAUAAGAUUGUUAUUUACUUGGCCAGAGUUUGUAAUGUUACUAGGUUGUACAUUACGGAGUCUUUAGGGUUCAUUGAGGGUAAACUUCCAUUAAGAUAUUUGGUAAUACCUUUCGACUCCAAAAAAGUUUGUAUUAAUAAGUAUUUGCCUUUAGUUGAAAGUAUUACUUUCAGGGUUAUACAUUGGUUUGCUAAGUUGCUUUCCUAUGCCGGAAGAGUGAAACUUAUAAAAUCUUUUGUGUUUGGCAUUAAAACUUACUAGCCCAAAUUCCUUUAUUCCCUAAGAAGGUGGUGAAGUUGAUUGAAACUAUAUGAAGAACUUUCCUGUGGAUUGGUGAUGUUAUUGUUAUUACACCCCAUUUUAAAGAUUUUUACUUAAAGGUUAAAAGGAUUUUCAAAUACUUAUUAUGACUAAAAGUGUUCCAAAAGAAAUUUAGAUUAAAAAUUAGAGCCGCCAUCUGAGAUUGAGUUUUGGUGUGCCAAGUCACCAAAUAUAUAUAUUUUUUUUGAAAUUUUUGACUCUGAACUGAUCAACGCAUAGAGAUUCUGGUUAAGAAAUUCUAUUCACCAAGGGAAAGGUGUUAGGCACCCCUCGAUCCCAUGAUUUUAACACAAUCGCUUUGUUGGCUCAUAUCGGCUAAAUUAACACUAUAAUAAAUAAACUUAUAGAAACAUACAAGACAGAUAAUCAAGGAAGAUUUCAAAUAAAAAUAAUGUCCAAUUCGAUUAUACAGUCCAAGAUAAAAAAAGAACGAAAAAUAAAACUAUGCCAUCUUAACUAGCUUAGAUUAUGCUUCACCCGACAUUCCAAAUCUUAUCUCAAAAAACCACCAGGUAUAAGAUACUUUAGGGUAUUUUUUUUAUAAAAUGAAUACAUUUUAAUCGAAGGCAAUAAAUCAAACCAACCAAGAAAUGAACAAACAAAAACAAUCAAAAUGCUCCUAAAAUUUACCUAUCCAUUUAUUGACUUAAAUAAGUUGCUAUCAAGUGAUAAAAAAUCUGAAUUAAUAGUAUAAGUAGAUUAAUGACCUUAUCAAUUUCCAAUUUCCCUCCCCAAUCACUUAACAAUUACUAAUUUCUGUUCUAUCGAAUAUCGAUUUACUCCUCUUACUUAGUAAUUUCAGGAAUACCAAGAGUAUAUAUAAACAAUAUUCUAAGUAGCCAUUAACUAUCCAAUAAUUAGCAACCAAGAAAGAUGAACAUCGAACCAAACGUUAACGACCCAACAUAAUAAAAUUAUUAGUAAGAAUAAGAUAAAAAAGGUUGGACCUCAAAGUUUUUUCAUUAAAGAUGAAUCUUUCAAAAUUGAUACAACAGCUUAAAUAUGAAAGAAUUUCUCCAAUCAGUAGCUCAAACCAAAAACUUUGAUGCGAACCUCAACUAGAGACACAAAUCUAAAAACUCGAGCAAUAGCCAAUUCUCCAAAACCCCAACCAAAGCAUUGUUUUGCACCAUUAGAUAACAAACUCAAAUUUGCCGUGGUUGUUUGAUCUGGAUUUGCUGGAGUUAGGUGACAACUUAGUGAUAUUGUGUGAUCCAUGAGAAAAUUAAUAGGUGGAUUUGUUGGUUAAAGGAGUUCAAUGGAGCUAGCGAAUGUUGGUUUAAAGGUGAAAUUAGUGUGAUUAAUGGUUAAUUCCUGCAGUGAAUGAUGGAGGAAAAAUAUUUUUUGUGUGUGGAUGUAUUCUUAGAUGAAUGGAAUGGAUGAGGUGGUGUUAGUGUGUUGGUUGGAUAUUUGAAGAGAAAAUAGAAGAGUUAUUGUUGUUAGUCGUUGGUGUUAGGUCGUUAUUGGAUGAGGUUCAAGGUUGAAGAAGGAGUUUUUUGUAGUGUUAUUGUUAAUGGAGGGAGUUGAUAAUAUUUGAGGCAGAAGAGAAUUCUUGAUUAAACAUGUGUGGCAUGUUUGUGAAUUUUUUUCAAUUGAAAAAUGGAGGUGGUAAAUGUAUAUUGCUAGUACAAGAGAAAGGAGUGUGUGUUCUCUGUGUGCAUAAAUUGUGUGGGAGGAGAAUUUUUAAUUGCUUUUUGAGGUGGAGAAUUGUGUAAUUGUGGGUAUAUAUAAAGAUGAAGUGCAGGUGCCAAACAAGAAAAAUAAAUGUAGAGGAGUUUGUGGGUGUAGUAUUCUAUUGGAGUUAUUCGUGUGGGAUAUUCCAGUGAGGUGAGUUAUAUGCCACGUUGAAAUCGUGUGUGUGAGGUGUACUAUGGAACAGAGGGUGAUGUGUGGUGAGUCCUGUAUUAAUGGGAUGAUGAACGAUAUUAAUCAAAUGGUGUAUUUUAACUAAGGUGUAUAUGUGGAUCGGGUAGGAUAGCAAAGUAAAUCAAAGUUAAAAAAAAUAUUAUUUUUGAACCAAAGAAAUCUUUUCAAGCGACUCAGUUUAAUUGAUUACUAUUUUUAUAUUUUUCUUAGAAAAAGACUAAAUAAAAUGCAAAGUAUUUUUUUACAAUUUUCUCAUCUUUUUAACAACAUUAAAAUAUUAUUCUAACAUACGAUUCUUUUUUGAUAAAUUUCACAUUUCAAAUAAAAGUUAAUUUAAUAUAAUAUUAAACUCAAAAAUGACAAGAUUAUGUCGAAAUAAGAAAAUAUUUAAGGUUAUGAUAAUGUAAGAAAAAGGUUUAGGGAGGAUAAAAAAUUACAUGUCUACGGUUGCCCCUCUUUGUUUGGGAACACAAAGUGUUUUCAAAUAAAAAAGUAGACAAUGAGGCAAGUUUUGAUCCAACCGUUAUUUGAAAGGAAAAUAAAGAGAAAAGAGAUGCGAUCGAGUCCUAAUUUUGGACAACUUACAAAUCCCCGGUUAUAAGAAAAUCAAGUCAUGUGUAGUUCAAGAUAGUAAGAGGUGAAAAUAGAAUAUACUGAGAUAAAGAGCUAAGUGAGGUCCUUUUGAGGUUCUGAUCCGCGACUCAUGUAAUUACAUUAAAGUGAAAAGUAAAAGUUAAAAAUAAAAAUGUAAGUACAAGAUUCUCUCUAUGCAACUUCUCUUGAAUUUUGACUUGAAUUUUCACUUGAGUCUUAAGCUUCAUAUAUCAUCUUGAUUUUGAGCAUCUUGAUCUUGAAGCUGAGAUUUGAUACUCAAACUUAAUUGACACUAUGACACUUUUCAAAUGAACCUUUAAGGAUAUUCUUGAAUGUUUGUUUUUAUGAUCAGUAGUUGGAUAGAAAUAGAUGUCGAAUUCUACGCCACUACAUGAUAGCUCUGACUGUCAUUGAGAUCGAAUUUUCUAGAAAAGAUAAGAAUCAAACUAUUUUUGGUGGAUGAAACCUGUAAGACAUCACAAAUAAAAAAACAAAUAAUGUUUUUCCCCAGUUUACAUUAGAGAAUUUUUGUGAGUUAUUAGAAAUUGCAAAUUUUAAACAACACCUCAACCUAGAAGUAAUUAUCUUAAGAGAAAAUAAAAUAAAAGAUCUCAAACUAGGAAGUGUUUAUAUACCCAACCUAGAAGUAAUAUAGAAGUGUUUUUACCCUUAAAUAACCUAUUUUUUACCCUUUAAGAUACAACAAGCAACACAUAGGGAUGCUUUGGGAUGUGUCUCCGACAAAAGAUCAAUUCAUUCCCAUAUGUCUGAGCAUCACACAAAUAAAAAUGACCUAAAAGCUGAUCUAGGCUGGGGGUUCACUAACAAGAUAAGGCUAUUUGGGUUGUAUGUGGUCGAUACAUCACGCUUUAAUGCUGGCCCUUCUAAAUUUGGAUGACUCAAUAAAAGGUUAUGUAUGCUUACAAUAUACUCCAGACUUAUUUCGAAAGAAUGACUAUGGGUAUUGAUAACGCUCAACUUACUCUACGAAUUUGGUGCAAGGCGGAUGUUACUAAUAUAUACCCAAAAUGAGUCAGGGUCGAAUCCUCGAUGAGUGCAAACUUAGUUUUCAAAGCUUAUGUGUGUUGAGAGUUAACUAUGUUUUAAGCCGUAAUGCAAUAAUUAAACAAUACAUAAAAAUAAACUGGGGGUUUGAUUUGAAACUUUGUUAAACACAAUCACAAAUGACACUAAUACGAGAUCAAACAAUUGAUAGGUGUUACCAAAUUGAGAAUGACCUUGGGGUUAUGCUAUCCUAGGUGGUAUUCAUGCAUGGGUAAUCAAUAGUGAGUCCAAGUUUUAGCUAAGGGUUUUGGGUAGGCUAGAUUUAGGGUCUUAGUGUUAACCUUUUGAUAAAAUACCAAAUUUCACUCAUUGAUUCUUUUGAAAACCUCAUGAGCGUGACAAGUUUACCAAUUUAUUACCUCAAAUUAGCAUCCUUAUUUCUAAGAUGAUGCUUAUGAAAAUAGCUAAAUCAAAUAACACCCUUAUUUCUAAGAUGAUGCUAUAAAAGAAAUUAAUUCAAGUUGUUGUUCACAAUUACUCCUCACCUAUAUCCCUCUUUCAAGGAUGAUAUGGGGUCCAAUACAAUUGGGGUUUUCACUACUAUUUCUCAAUUUGAAAAUGGAGUAAGAGCAAAACUCAUCAUAAUUAACUAAUUAUUUGGACUAACAAUCAACACCCACAUAUUAUUCACCACCUAAUCAAAUAUAACCCCAAGAUAUAAGUUUAGUUACUCAUGAAACUAAAGAUAAGAAAUAUAUCCAAAUUGGCAUGCAAUUGAUUCAUCAUAAGCAAAGCAAGUAUAAAUCCAAACUUCAAUUUCAAUCUACAACCAAAUAUCUCUUGGAAUAAUACCAAUAAUUGUUUCUUCACUCAAUAUAAAGUGUUUUUCUCUACAAAAAUGGAAAAUUUGAUAUGGAAAAUGUUGAGGAUUUAUCAUUUUAUAUUUUGGGAUUGAGCUCUGUUAGUUUUUGAUUUUUCCCCUAAAAUCUGUCUGACCUAUCGCAAUCAUACUCCCUCACUUGUAGUCUCAUUUUUGUGCUCCCUUAGGUUGCGAUCACACUCCCCUAGUUGCAGUCGCAUUUUUACGAUCCCUCAGGUUGUGAUCGCAACAUCCAAGGGUCGUCUCUUGGAGGUUAUCUUAAGCCUUUAUCAAUAUUUUGCCAUUUCCCUUCCCCUUUUCAGCUUUUUCUCAACUCUUUUUCAUCAAACUUACCUGUAGAAUCACAAACACCAGAAUUUAGUGCAUUUUACACAGAACUAAUCUCAUAUAUUCAAUCAUUUCACCAUAGUGUUCAAGAAAUUAGAUGUAAAUGAGUGGCAAGUUUGCCACUUAUCAACAUCCCCAACUUAAGAUCUUGCUUGUCUUCAAGCAACACUACUUUACACUCAAUGAGAGUGCUCAACUUUGAAGCUCACAUUAUUUUAUCACAUGGCCACCAAAAUAUUGAACUUGAUUAGUGAUUAAUUAUCAAGCAUGAGGGGCGCUAGUUGCACAACCACCUAAAAAUCAAUCACAUGGUCAAGGAUGCAAGGAAAUUUUAAGAAUAGUUGAGCAACAACAACCAAUUCUCAAGAAGUGACUCUUCAUUAAUAGCACGUUAAAUAUUUUUCCCUUGCGUUGCUUUAGGAAGAUGCCAAUUACACCAAUUUAUCCUACUCUACGUGCCUCCUCAUAAAAGAAAGUCCCAACACACCAAAUUUUUAAUAUGCAAUAAGGGACGCAUGUGCAAGCACUCACACUCAUAAAGAAUUUCUCAAUACGAACAAGUACCAUGCUAUGUACUUGCCCUGAUUUUCGAUCGCUACUAACUAAAAAACAUUUGGCUAGAGAUUCUGAAGGACAGUUUAGGAUUGUAAUGCAGGUUGAGGGAAGGGUAGGAUAAGUAUUUGGGAUAAAAGUGACUACAUGUCACGACCAAAACUAGGGCCUGGCCGUGAUGGGUAUCUCAAGUCCCACGUGGAUAGGAGAUCACCCCCUGUACCUAACUAAACCAAACACACCAUACCCAAAUUAGGCUGAAUUUCGAACAUAUAACAACAUAAGAGAAUACUGAUUUAAAGACAUUAAAAUAAGUCUACAACCAAAACCAAUCGAUAUCGGCAUCAAUGCCAAUACCAAUACCAAUACCGACUCCACCCUCAGUAGACUGACAAAGCCUCUAAUCAAAACCAAGGAAUAUCUAAUCGGGACAUUUCCCUGACCAUAGCCAAAUACUAAAUCCAAAAGAAUAGUUAAAAUAUAAAGGAAACCAUAAACAUAAAAUGGGGUCUUUCAAAGUAUGAAAGCUCACCACUUCAAUCUGACUCCCUAGCUGACCCCGAAUCCAAGUCAAUGAGUAGGAGGAGUAGAAGUAUGACCAGUUCCUGCAUCGCUAUGACCAGUUCCUGCAUCGCGUGGGGAUACAACAUCCAAAGACAGUUUGCGGGGUGAACACUAGCAUAUAAUUUGGGGAUAAGGAUAACAUAAUGAUAGGAUCAAUAGUUUAAGAAAAUCAUUCAAACCCAGUGAACAUAAUUAAAUGCAUAAACAUAUAUAUAUAUAUAUGUAUAUAUAUAUAUACACACACACACACAAACACACACAUAUAUAUACAUAUAACAUGUCAGGAUAGGAAACAAGGCUUAACAUGCAUUUAAAAACCUUAUCAUGGAUUGUGUAGCUCAACCGUUAUAUAAUAGUACCCACGGGCUAUAUGGGCCCCAACUCUCACCCCCUGGUCGGGUCCUAGUGCUUGUUGCCGCAUAAACCAGAGAAUAAUGUCAUAUAUAUGCACAUGGGGGACUCAAACCCUCUAACAUAUACCAACGUGACAUAAGUACCCGAUCACAUAAUGAUUUACGGGGGACUCAAACCUCCCUAAUCAUGAAAUAAUAAUAAGGGGGACUAGAACCUCUCUAGUCACUUUGAUCCCACAUCGACAAACGUGAUUUCCAGUAUUGGUCACUCAGACCUCCGCUUUCACAACUCAGCUACACAACUCUUAUUAAAGCCCAAUUAAAAUAAUUAUCACAUAUUUCCAUUCGAUGAACCACAAUACAUUUUAAGGCAUACAUUGGUUGUAUCGUUAUACCAACUACAUGUGCAAGUAACAUAUCAUGGUAAAACAAUUUUCAUUAACUUGGGGAGAACAACUCUCUUUGUUUAUUAAUACACAUUGGGGUACACCGACUUCCUUUGAUCAUUAAUUCAUACCAUUGUAUUUCAAAUACUUAUUUAUACCAUGCAAUAGUUCAAGACAAGUUCAAUUUUAUAAAUUCCCAUAGUUCUCAUAACUAAAACCAAUUUCACAUUAUGGGGUUGGGUAUAUAACUACUUGAAAGCCACAAGUUUGGUGAAAUCACAAUUCCCUAGUUCAUUCACCAUACUUAUGCACCCACAAUUCAAACCAUAUUAAAAGCAUGAAAAUCAUAUAUAUAUAAAUUAUGAGAAACAUUGUUCAAUUCCUAACAUUCAACCCCCCAACCUUUGUUUCCAAAACCAAAUAAUAAUCUUAUGAAUAAUACUUUCAACCCUUGAGCCCUUAGAUGACCAAAUUGGUGAAACCCGAGCUUGACUUGUUUGAGAGGAUUUAGCGAGAUUGUUUAAUCCAUUUAAGUGUUGAAUGAAUGCCACAAAAGUGUUUUAUGGACGUGGGGUCUAAAGGGUUUUAAGUGAAAAAUGUCUAAAGUGCCCCCAACUUAAAAUCUAGAAAACCAUCGUCUUUGGUUACGAGUCAACCUCUUGACUCAUAGCCACACGGUCACGAGUCAUAACUAGGACAGUCUCCAAGACCCCCAACACUAUUGUCCUUACGACUCAACUAACUCGUAAUAUGACCCCAAGACUCGUAGGGUCCUAAUCGUGAGCAACACAGAACCCAAAUGAAUCAAAUACUAGACAUCCUAUGAUUUGAACCUAUGACUCAUGACAUAUCCUUACGGCUCAUAGUGAGCUACUCAUACUCAGAGCAAAAUCAAGCCUUAACUUACUGGUUUGGGUACGACUCACCCAAUAAAUCUUCAUGAACCCUUACGACUCUGAGGGUCCAGUCAUAACCAAUGCAGUGAGCCCAAAGCUCAAGAAAUUUGCAAAGGCCAAAAAUUUGGGGUGUUUCAAUUCUCCCCCACUUGGAUCAUUCGUCCUCGAAUAAUGGGACAAGGCAAUUGCUAGGAUGAUUUAACUCUACAUUCCCUUACUCUUACCUUUAACAAACUCAAAAAAUAAAAAUGCCCAGAAAACCAAUCUUUUCGUUAACUAAGUCAGAAAAUAAAGAUGUUAAGAACCGGAGUGGAAAACAAGGAUGGAUACUUGGACUUCAUGUCCUCUUUGUCUUCCCAUGUAGCCUCUUUAAACUUGUGGUUCCUCCAUAGAACCUUAACAAAGGCAACGUCCUUCGUCCACAACCGAUAAACUUGUCAAUCAAAAGUCUUAAUAGUGACCUCCUCAUACGAUAAGGAAUCUAAAAUACCAAUAUCCUUGAUAGGCACAAUCAUCGAUGGAUCACCCAUAGACUUACUCAACAUUGACACAUUGAACACUGGAUGAAUGAGCUCAAACUAGAGGGAAACUCUAAUUUAUAUGCAACACUACCAAUCCUCUUCAAGAUCAAGUACGAGCUAACAUACUGGGGACUGAGCUUCCCCUUCUUCCCAAACUACAUCACUCCCUUCAUAGGAGAUACCUUCAAGAACACCCGAUCGCCAACCUCAAACUCUAAAUCCCUAUGCCUCAUAUCUGUAUAGGACUUUUGGCGACUUUGACUGGUUUUAAGUCUAUGUCGAAUUACCUUCACCUUCUCCAUCGCUUGGUUAAUGAAAUCCGGGCCAAACAUAUCCAUCUCACUAACCUCGAACCACCUAAUAGGAUACCUACACCUCCUAUCAUACAAUGCUUCAAAUUGAGCCAUCCCAAUACUAGAGUGGUAGCUAUUAUUAUACGUAAACUCUAUAAGUGGCAAAUAAUCAACCUAACUACCGCCAUAGUCAAUCACACAAGACCAAAACAUAUCUUCCAAUGUCUGAAUAGUCCUUUCUGCUUACCCAUCUAAUCGUGGGUAGAAAUUAGCACUAAGUCUCACAUUAGUUCCUAAACUUUUUAAAAAUAAAUUCCAAAAAUGCAAUGAGAAUUGAGUACCAUAAUCUGACAUGAUAGAAAUAGGUGCCCCAUGCAACUUCACGAUCUCUUGAAAGAACAACUUUACAUAAUCCUUUAUCGAAUAAUUAGUCCUCACUGGCAAGUAGUAAGCAGACUUAGUCAUCCUAUCCAUGCUGUCCAAAGUUAAAUCAAAUUAAUUCUGUGAUCGAGGAAGACCGAUGAAAAAAUCCAUAUCAAUCACUCCCAACUUCCACAUAGGCAAUUCAAUAUCUUGAGUUAACCCACUGGGCCUCAUGUCCUCAACCUUCACUUGUUGACACACCAUGAAUUUAGCCACAAAACUGGCCACAUCUCACUUAAUAUUGUUCCACCAAUAAAUCUACUUAAGAUCAUGAUACAUCUUCAUCAAACUGGGAUGAAUAACAUAAUGUGACUCAUGACCCUCAGCCAAGAUCCUCUCUUUUAACCCAUCUACAUUGGAAACACAUAAUCUACCUUGGUACCUCAAGAUACCAUCGCCAUCAAUCUCAAAAGCUACAACAGUUUGCUGACCCAUUUCUUCCUUAAUCUUUAUUAAGACAGGAUCCAAUACUUGCUUCUCCUUUAUUCAACAACAAAGGAUGACUUUGCCACUUCUUGCACAAACACACCACUAUUCUCAGAGUCCAAGAGACAAACUCUAAGGUUAGGUAAACGGUGAAUAUCUUUCACCAACUCCCGCUUAUCCUCAUCCACAUGAGCUAGACUCUCUAUGGAUAACCUGCUAAGAGCAUCAAUAACCACAUUAGUUUUACCUGGGUGAUAGUGGAGACUCAUGUAGUAGUCUUUCAGCAACUCAAGCCACCUCCUCUGCUUGAGAUUCAACUCCUUCUAAGUGAAUACAUAUUGCAGACUCUUAUGAUAAAAAAAUAUAUCUCCAUGGACUCUAUAUAAAUACUGAUGCCAAAUCUUCAAUGCGAACACCACAACUAAUACUCUAAGUCAUGAGUUGGGUAAUUAUUGUCAUAAACUUUUAACUGCCUAGAAAUAUAUGCCACCCUACCAUAAUGCAUCUAUUCACAACCAAGUCCCACAUAGGAUGCAUCACAAUAGACAACAACACCAUCGGUGCCUUCCGACAGAGUCAGAACUAGAGCUGUAGUCAACUUAUCUUUUAGCUUCUUAAAACUACCUUUCACAAGCAUCAGACCACAAGAACUUCACCUUCUUUUGAGUUAACUUAGUCAAUGGGGCAGCCAUGGUCGAUAAACUCUCUAUAAAUCUCCUGUAGUAAUCGGCUAAAUCCAAGAAGCUCCAAAUAACUGUUGGAGUCAUGGGCCAAGGCCACUUCUUAACCGCUGCAACUUUUUGCGUAUUCACCAUGAUCCCUUCACUAGAAAUGACAUGACCCAAAAAAGCUACAACUUUCAACCAGAAUUCAAACUUCGAAAACUUAGCAUACAAAUAUUGAUCUUCAAAGGUUUGCAACAAAAUACGAAGGUGAUCAGUAUGAUCUGCCUCACUCUUGGAAUACACUAGAAUAACAUCUAUAAACACAAUAAUGAACAAAUCCAAAAACAGAUGGAAAACCCUAUUCAUCAAGUCCAUAAAUGUUGCCAGGGCAUUAGUCAAACCAAAAGACAUAACUAAGAAUUCAUAAUGACCAUACCGGGUUCGAAAGGUAGUCUUAGGGAUAUUCAUUUUCCUAUUCUUUAACUGAUGAUAACCGGGCCUAAGAUCAAUCUUAAAGAAACAUCUAACACCCUGAAGUUGGUCAAACAAAUCAUUAAUUUGAGGAAGAAGAUAGUUAUUUUUCACCAUAACCUUAUUUAACUGAUGGUAAUCAAUACAUAUUUGAAGGGAACUAUCCUUCUUACGCAUGAACAAAAUAGGAUCACCCUACUGAGACACACUAGGAUGGAUAAAUCCCUUGUCAAAGAGGUCUUUCAAUUGCUGUUUAAGCUCUUUCAACUCAGCCGAAGCCAUUCUAUAUAGAGGGAUAGAGAUAGGAUGAGUUUCUAUAACAAGGUUAAUCCCAAAAUCAAUCUCCCUAUCAGGGGGAUACUAGGAAGAUCAUCAGGAAAAACCUCAGAAAAUUCACUAACCACGAGAAUGGAUUGCAAUAAAGGACCUUCCGAGUUAGAAUCUUUAUCCUGAACUAAAUAAUAAAUACAUCUCUUAGAAAUCAACCUCCCAGCUCUAAGAUAUGAUAUGAACCUUCCCUUAGGUACUAGAGAACCCCCUUACUACUCAAUGACCGACUUAUUAGGGAAUUUAAACAUGACCUUACGAGUCUGACAAUCUGAGACAUAGUAAGAAUACAACCAAUCCAUCCCUACUAUGACAUCAAAAUCAACCAUGUAUAACUUUAUUAGAUACACCAGAGUUUCUUUACCACCAACAGAUACCACACAACCCUUAUAGACUCUCCUAGCAACCAUAGAGUCACCCACCAAUCUUGAAAUAGAAAAGGAAUCAGAGAUACACUCGAGACCAAAACCAAAAUACACAGCUACAAAUGGGGUCACAUAAGAAAGAGUAGACCUGGAUCAAGCAAGCAAUACAUAUCAUGAGAAAAGAGUCGUAACAUACCCGUGAUAAUAUCACGAGAUGCCUUACAGUCCUGGCAGACAUCAAGGGCAUACAAAUAAUUUUAGCCAGUGUCAGCACUAGAAUAGACGUAGCACCCUUUGGUGCAGGAGAUGAUGAAGUGGCAACAGGAAUCUUAUUUUUCCCCAAAUCAACCUUAGAAGGACAAUUCUUUUGCAAGUGGCCACUCAGACCAUAUUUGAAAUAUCUAUUCCUACUUUGUUCACAAAACCCAUGGUGCACCUGCUUGUAGAAUGUACAAGAAGGAUAUGAUGAAGCAGAACUAGCCCCACAAAUCUGUCAUUGGGAGCCUACGCCCUAAAUCCACUAUCAUAUUGAGAGUGAUAAUCACUCGAUGACUUUAGAUAAAGAGCAAUAGCAGUAGAGUAGGAACUAGAACUCCCCCACUUUUUCUUAGACCACUUUUUUACCAUCUCUACCAUCCUGCUGCUGGCCUCUUCCCUGAUCAAGAAAUCUAAAAUUCUUAUUUUGCCUUUCCCCAAUUUUAGCCUGCUUCUUCUUCCAUUCCUCAACUUGCUGCCUAUACACAACCAAUCUAGAGGUAUCUAUAUCCGUGUUCAACAAGGCAAUCUUACUUUCUAGAAUCAAAUCACGAGACAACCUAGAAGAAAAUUUUCUCAUUCUAGCUCUCAUGCUAGACAUCUAACUCGGGAGCAUAACGGGACAACUGAUGGAACUUCAAGGCAUACUCCUUGACCAUCAUCUUACCUUACUUUAAAUUAACAAAGUCUUUUGCUUUUGCCUUCCUUAUCUCUCGAGGACAAAAAUGGUCCAGAAAAGCACUAGAUAAAUCAUCUCACUGUACGAAUUUAGCAUCAUCUCCCUUAGAUUAUUCCUAUUCCUUAUACCAUUGGUAUGCUAUAUCCUUCAAUUGAUAGGCAACAAAUUCUACACCUUUCAUAUUAGUAGCAUACAUAAUGUGAAAGAUCUUCUCUAUCUCAUUAAUAAAUCCUUGAGGAUGCUCCUCAACUUUCAUACCAGUGAACAUAGGAGGGCUCAUCCUCAUAAACUGAUCAACCCUUAUAGCCUUAAAAGAUAGAGUAAUAGAAGCUACAUACUCAGACUGAGAAGCUACCAACUGAGCUAACAUAUGAAUAGACUGAUAAAAUUCUGCAUUCAAUAUAUCAUCCCUAAGAGAUCGAGGAGGACUAGAGGGGAUCAAUGGAACUUUAGAAGGGAAAUCAAGAACAGGAUCAUAGACCAAGUCUGUACCCCAUAAGCAGGGCGUGUCUCAUCAGCAUUGAAGUAGGAUAGAGGAGUUUUCAUGAGCUUCAGAUCACUUGGGAGGCAUAAUCUAAAAAGAAAAUAAAUGAGAAUUAGAGAGACUCAAGACCUUAGAAUCUAUAGCUUAAAAUAGAAUAACUAGAAAGGGAAACAUUCCUAAUGUCUCGUAGCCUCUCCCAUAUAAGUGUCAUGCAUUAUACACCCAUUAAAGAGACUCUACUUGACAUAGAUUUGUCGGACACCCUAUGACACCAAACCUAGGCUCUGAUACUACCUUUGUCAUGACCUGAACUAGGGCCUGGCCAUGAUGGGUAUCUCAAGUCCCAUAUUAAUCGGAGGUCACCCCCUAUACCUAACUAAACUAAACAUACCACACCAUAAGUAGGUUGAAUUUCAAACAUAUAACAAGAUAAGAGAAUAUUGAUUUAAAUAAAUUAAAAUAAGUCUACAACCAAAACCAACCGAUACCGGUAUCAAUACCAAUACCAAUACCAGCACCAAUAUUGAUACCGACACCGCCCAUGCCAGCAGUAGUCUCACAAAGACUCUAAUCAAAACCAAGGAAUAUCCAGCCGGGACAUGCCCCCAACCAUAGCCAAAAACUAAAUCCAAUGAAAUAGUCAAAAUGUAAAAGAAACCAUAAACUUGAAAUGGGGUCUUUCGAAGUAUAAAAUCUCACCACUUCAAUAUGACUUGCUAGCUGAUCCUAAAUCUAAGCCACUAAGUAGGAGUAGAAGUAUGACCAAUUCCUGCGUCGCUUAGGUAUACAAUAUUCGAAGACGGUUAGCAGGGUGAAUGCUAGCAUAUAACUCGGGGUUAAGGAUAACAUAAUGAUAUGAUCAAAAGUUUAAAAAAUCAUUCAAAGCCAGUACACAUAAUCAUAUCCAUAAACAUAUAUAUAUAUAUACAUAUAUAUAACAUGUCGCUAUAGGGAACAAGGAUUAACAUGCAUUUAAAAACCUUAGCCUGGAUUUGUAGGUCAACUGUUAUAUAAUAGUACCCACAAACUAUAUGGUCCCCAACUCUCACCCUCUGGUCGGUCCCCAAUGUAUAUAGCUACAUAAGUCAGAGAAUAAUCUCAUAUAUAUGCACAUGGGGGACUCGAACCCUCCAACAUAUACCAAGGUGACUUAAGCAUUCGACUACAUAAUGAUUUAUGAGGGACUCGAACCUCCCUAAUCAUGAAAUAAUAAUAAGGGAGACUCAAACCUCCCUGGACAUUUUGACCCCCAUGUCAGCAAGCAUAAUUACCAUUAUUGGUCACUCGAACCUCCACUUUCAUGACUCAGCUACACAACUAUAACACCUCAUAUUUUUAAGCUAGACUUUGAACCAUUGUUCUUAUGUGUAUAAACUCAAAUCCCAUGAUAUAUAUUUAAAUACAUGUUUCAUGAUCAUUAUCCUAGUGUGGAGAGUGCUUAUGAGGUGAAAAAUGUUCACUAGAAUCACUUGGAACAAAGUUGAGCUAAGAGCCUUCAAUUCGAAAAAAAUUUGGUAUUUAAUUCUACAAGGAUCAACUUUAAACAUGUAUAACUUUGGACAUAUAUGAAAUUUUGUAGCUCAAUACCUACCAAAUUAUAGAUAAUUGAAUUAGCUUUACAAUAAUACCUAUUUUGCCUUAAUACGAUACCCAAGCAAAAAGUUAUGACCAUUUUCGUUAGAAAUAGUAAGGUUUCACGAUAGGUCCAUGUCGUGGAGACCAUUCCUCCAGAAUAAGGUCUGCAUCACAGAGGCCAUUCCUCCAGAAUAGGUUUCGUGCUGCGGAGGCUAUUCCCCUACUAUUCUUGAUUGAAGGGUCUAAGGGGUAAUUUGGUCCUUUCCCCUCAACCCAAAUCGUCCAAAGUGCAACUUAUAACACCCUAAUGGGAAUUAUUUGCCCCGUAUCAUCAGAAUAACUCAUGUAGAAACCAUUCCUUUCCCCAAGAAUGAAAAUUCAAGCUUCUUCUCUCAAGAACUCAAGAAUUUAAGCUCCGAUUUCAAGAUUCCUUCAAGAAUUUGUCCAAUUAAGGUAUGUGGGGAAUUCAUAAAUGGGUUCCUUUCACCCAUUGAGCCAAAAAACCCUCUCUUUGAUUUAAAGUAUGAAUUUUUCCUUCAUUAUGGAAUUUCGCAUGUGCAAGAUGAAUUUAAUCCAUGUUAUCCCUUAGUAAUUUGAAUUCAAUCUAUGUCUGCAUAUGAUUCCAUGUAAAAUAGUGUAACACCCUGAAAAUGGGUCCCAAGAUGUCACACAGUGCUCAAGACUACAAUUAGCCUUAGUCCAAGCCUGUAAGCCAUUUACUAAAUCUAAAACUCAUAAUAGGGAAGUAUAGAUAUAUAAUCAAGCUAAAAUAUGAAAUUCUGUAUGGGCUAAGCUAAAAAUAUCUGAAUAUAAUAUCUAAAAAUACUUAACUCAAGAGUAUGAUAAAUCAAUGCUGAAAAUCUAAAGCAAAUCUAGCAGUCUAACAAGCCUCUACUACCAAUGAUAGAGACUCACUGGGACAAACCCCCAGUUGACUCAAACUAUUUGAAAAUACUGAAUCAUCUAUACUAAUAAGCUGAAAAAUUGAAGGACUGGGUCCCCAAACUAUGAGGACUCACCAACUAUUGGAAUGUAGAUAGAGAUGCUCAAAAUCACCCACGCUACUGAAACUGAGCACCUGAACCUCCAUUAUGAGACAAUGUAGCACAUAGACGUAUAUGUGGAUCAGUACUUCUGGAUUGAAUUGAGUAUAUGGGGGUGAAUGCACAAGUAAAUCAAUAUCUCAAUAUUAUUAUAAAUUAUUAUAAAUUUGUAAAGAAUGCAUGUUAAAUGUAGAUGACUCACAUAAGUUGGAAUAUCUGAAAGCUAAAAAUCAUAAUCUUGUAUGGCAAAACAUAUUGCAUAAUUCUAGUGAGUCAUAACAUUAAGUUUCAAAAAGCAGUACUUGUAUUCUGUCUUUAAAUUAUGUUGUAUAAGUGUAGAAAGGACUCACUUUUAUAUCUAAAAUCUAAAGUCUGAAAUCUAGUAGCAAAUAACUUAUAUAAAAUAAUAUCUGAAUGAAAUCGUGAGUCUUUACACUUAGUUUCUGAAAGCUGUUCUAUUAUGAUUUUUCUGUAGUCUUUACUAUUAAGAUUACUCUUUCUGUAGGGAAGUUCUUCUAACCAACAUACACUAUGUAAGUUAUCAUAGUGUCCAACAUCUAGUUUCCUUAUGGGAAAACCUUACAUUGGGGAGACUCUUGCCAAGGAGUAUAACCUAAUUUAAGUGAUCACAUAUGUAUCUGUCAUCCAUAUAGAAAUGGGAAUAAUAUGAUAAUCUGAACCUAUAUUGGCUCGUAGUUCUGGGGAAUGUAAACAUACACAACUAAGUUCUAAAUACUACUUCUUUUAAUUUGUAUGCUCAUUCUGUUGGAAAUCUACUUUUAAAAACUAAUAUAAGGGUUUACAAUGAAAACCUCUUGUAAAUCUGUUUACUGUAAAUUGUAGCUAAAUGUGUAAAGUGGAUUCCAUAUCUAAGCUGAGAUCAAAAGAUCAAAUCUUUGUUCAAAUUUGAAUAUAACAAGUCAUGGGAUACCUAAAAACAUAUCUUUUCUUGAAAUAACAACAUUCAUACUAGGGCUAAUAACCCAUGCAUCAAAUACAUGUCAAGCCAUUAUCAAACUAAUACAAAGUAAUGAAAAUAUUGAUAAUUCAAGUCUAAAUCUGGAAAUUACUGCAAUACGCAUGAAGAUAUGAAAAUUAACAUGCAAAUUAAUCAUCUAAAUUACUUCAAAUCUCAUAAUCUUGCAAAUAGCAAUAUUGGGUAUGAACCCUAAUUUAAAACUCAUGUAAUUUCAUACAAAAUCAUCUUUAAAACUAAUUUUGGGCACAAGGAUGAAAUAAUUAUCCUUGUUGAAAAACCUCACAUACCUUAAUUAAUGCAAUUGAUGAGAACACUUGAUUUCGGAUUCCUAUUUGUAUUCUUGGAGAUGGAUAAUUGAUUAUUUUGAAUUGGAAACCUUGAAUUUUGAGUUUCCUUGGAGAAAGAAUGGUGGAAUUUGGAUUUCUGGGAAUUAAGUUUUGAGUUCUAGGGUUUUCUUUGAGAGAAAAUUGAUGAAAAGAUGCAUAUAAUGCUUAGAGUAGGAUUAAUCCUCUGUUAUUCUCGAUUUGGGGGCUUGGGAAAAGACUAGAUUGCCUUUUUUAAAAUUUACUGGAAACUAGGAAAAAUCCUGAUUUGGCAUCCCACCACGACGCGCCACUAUCGCAGUGGCUCACUAGAAAUUGACUAUUGCAAACUUAAACUUCAUCGCAAUGUGGUGCUAUCAUGGUAAGCCACUUAAAAUUGACAAAUACCAUUUGGGCCAUCACCGCGACGCGGUACCAUCGCGCUGAGCUACUAGAAAUUGAAAAUGGGAACUGGGACUUUACCACGACAUGGGCCAAUCAUGGUGGUCUACUGAAAAUUGGACAAGUGUCAUUUUCCUUGUCACUGUGAUGCGGUGCUGGUCUUUUUGAGACACUGUCUUCACUAAAAGUAUCAUAACUUCUCAACUUGAGGCAAAAUUGGUAUCGUUGGAAAGCUGAGCCAAUUAUCUACACAUUGGUAGGUCUAGAGCUGGAAAAUUUUACACGUAUCAAGAGCUAUUUAUUUCCAAAGUUAACCCUUGACAUUCGAGAAGCUAAACUGAGCUAGGAAAAGUAUGGGGUAUUACAUUAUUCCCCUCUUAGGAACAUUCAUCCUCGAAUGUGGCUAGUUAAGCUGAAAAUAUUGAGGAACUGAGGCUAUAUACUGACAUACUCAACUGAACAAAAUGCGUAACUGAAUCUAGAACAUGCUGAGCUAUUGAACUAAUCUGCGAGUGCAUAAAUUUACAUGAAGAUAACUAUAUGGCUGAAUCUGAGACUGGAAAAGAACUGAAUUAAGGAAGACUGUUACCUUUGGCUGAAUCUGAGUUCAUGGAGAAAAGGUUAGGAUACUUGGUAAUCAUUCCUACUUCUGCUUCCCAAGUAGCACCCUCAAUGGACUGAUUUCUCCACAGAACCUUGACUAAGGGAACUUCUUUGUUCCUUAGUCUACGAAUCUGAUGAUCAAGAAUCUCUACCAGAACUUCUUCGUAUGAAAGGCUAUUCUGAAUAUUUAUGCUUUCUAGAAGGACUAUAAUAGCUGAAUCAUCCAUGAUCUUCUUCAAUAAGGACACAUGGAAUACUGGAUAAACUAACGAUAAGUCUGCGGGUAGCUCAAGCUCAUAUGCUGCCUUCCCAACAUAAUUUAAAAUUUGGUAGGGGCCUACAUAUUGGGUACUAAGUUUCCCCUUUUUUUCAAAUAUCUUUACCUCCUUCAUGGGUGAAACCUUUAAAUACACAAAAUCAUCUACUUUAAACUCAAGAUCUCUCGUUCUUACGUCUGUAUAAGAUUUCUGACGACUCUAAGCUGCUUUUAAUCUCUCUCUAAUCAAUUGAACUUUCUCCAUGGCUUCAAACACCAUAUUCGGCCCAAUCAAAGUGGCCUCACCUAGUUCACACCAACCGACUAGUAAUCUAUAUAUCCGCCCAUAAAGAGCCUCAAAUAGGGCCAUUUAAUUACUGGAAGGGUAACUGUUAUUGUAGGUAAACUCAAUCAAUGAUAAAUGGUCAUCCCAACUGCCUUUGAAGUAAAAAACACAUGCCCUCAACAUAUCCUCUAAGAUCUAAACGGUACUCUCUUCCUGACCAUCUGUCUGCGGAUGAAAAGCUGAACUGAGAUGAACUUAGGUACCAAGACCUACUGAAAGGCUUUCCAAAAUUGAGCGGUAAACUGAGUACCCCUAUCUGAGAUGAUGGACAAAGGAACUUCAUGCAAUCUAACCAACUAUUUGAUAUACAGCUUCGCAUAAUCUUCAGUUGUGUAGGACAUGUGAACUGGCAAGAAAUAAGCUGAUUUGGUCAAUCUUUCUACAAUAACCCAUAUUGAAUCAUGCUGAUGACGUGAAUAGGGUAAUCUAGUCACAAAGUCCAUAUUCAUCUCUUUCUACUUUGAAGUGGGAAUACUAAAUUCCUGCAAAGUGACACCUGGUCUUUGGUGCUCAACCUUAACCUAUUGACAAGUUGCACACUUGUCUACAAAUUCAGUGAUAUCUUUCUUCAUACCACUCCACCAAUAGACUUUCUGCAGAUCACGGUACAUAUUUGUGGAUCCUCAAUGAAUAGAAUAACAUGCACUAUGCGCUUUUUCCAUAAUCCGCUGCCUCAAAUCAUCAAUAUAUGGCAUACAUAAUCUACUCUGGUAUCUCAACACACCAUCUCCUCCUUGGAAGAAAACUUCUACCCUUUGGUCUUUAACUGAACCCUUCAUCUUGACCAAACUAGAGUCCUUAUUCUGCUUUUCUUUCACUUCAGACACUAGAGAAGAUUCUAAACUACUCUGAACCCAAACAUUCCUUUUAGCUGAGUCAACCAUCCUCAUGGCUAAUCUACCCAACCGGUGAACUUCACAAACUAACUCUCUAUUAUCAUUCUCCACAUAGGCAACACUGCCUAUAAACAAUCUACUAAGGGCAUCUGCCACUACAUUGGCCUUGCCUGGAUGAUACAACAUACUCAUAUCAUAAUCCUUCAAUAAUUCUAAUGAUCUUCUCUAACAAAGAUUAACUCCCUCUGUGUAAACACAUACUGCAAUCUUUUGUGAUCCGUAAACACGUCAACAUGUACCCUAUAAAGAUAGUGCCUCCAAAUUUUCAACGCAAAUAAAACAACAGCUAACUCAAGGUCAUAGGUAGGGUAGUUCUUCUCAUGAGGCUUAUGCUGUCUAGAGGCAUAGGCUAAAACCUUACCUCUCUAUGUCAAAACACAACCUAGACCAAUUCUAGAAGCAUCACAAUAUGCAACGAAUCCAUCUGCACCGAAUCCAUCUGCACCAUCAGGUAGUGCUAAAACUGGACUUGAAGUGAGUAGAGUUUUCAACUCUUGAAAUCUCUUCUCAUAGGAAUCUAACCACUGGAACUUAACUUUCUUUUGUGUCAAUCUAGACAUAGGGGAUGCAAUAGAUGAAAAAAACUCAAUAAAAUAUCUGUAAUAGCCAUCUAAAACCUAAGAAACUUCUAAUCUUUGAUGGAGAAAUAGGUCUUAGCCAAUUUCUCACUGCUUUUGUCUUUUGGGGAUCAACUCUAAUACCAUCAUUAGAAAUAAUAUGAUCAAGAAAAGCUACCACUCUUAGUCAAAAUUCACAUUUGCUGAAUUUAGCGAACAAUUGGUGAUCCCUAAGAGUUUGCAACACAAUUCUAAGGUUGUCUGGAUGGUCAUCCUUACUAUGAGAAUAAACAAGAAUAUCAUCUAUAGAGACUAUGAAAAACAUGUCCAAAUACCGUUUGAACACUCAGUUCAUCAAGUCCAUGAAGCCUGUUGGGGUAUUUGUAAGACCAAAUGACAUGACUAGAAACUUGAAAUGACCAGAUCGAGUUCUGAAAGCUGUCUUUGGGAUAUCAUAUUCACUUACUCUAAGCUGAUGAUAGCCGGAGCUAAGGUCUAUCUUGGAAAAGUAACUUACACCUUGAAGCUGGUUGAAUAAGUCAUCAAUUCUAGGAAGAGAAUAUUUGUUUUUGACUGUGUCUUUAUUCAGAUGACGAUAGUCAAUGCACAUUCACAAAAAACCAUCUUUGUUUUGCACAAAUAGGAUGGGAGCACCCCAUGGAGAGACAUUGGGCCUUAUGAAACCUUUAUCUAAGAGGUCUUUAAGUUGCUCUUUUAACUCUUUAAGCUUGGCUGGGGCCAUACGAUAUGGAGGAAUAGAGAUAGCCUGAGUAUUUGGAAGAAGGUCAAUACCGAAUUAUUUUUCCCUAUCAGGAGGUACCCCUGGCAAAUCUUCAGGAAAAACACCAGGAAAAUCAUUGACUACACUGACUAACUAAACUGUUGGGGUCUCAGACUUAGUAUCUUUAACCCAAACUAGAUGAUAGAUAUACCCUUUUGAGAUCAACUUUUUGUCUUUAACGUAGGAUAUAAAAUGACUCUUGGGAGACACUGAAUUACCUUCCCACUCAAAGACUGCUCAUCUGGAAACUGAAACUUCACUAGUUAGGUGCGAUAAUCUAUGGAUGCAUAACAGGAAUAGAGACAAUCCAUACCAAGAGUAAGGUCAAAGUCAACUAUAUCUAACUCUAUUAAAUCCGCUAACAUAAUUUUAUGAAGGAUAGUGUCCGCUAACAUGAUUUAUGAAAGACAAUGAUAGGACACUUUCUAUAAAUCUGUUUGGAAACAACUGACUAACCACUAGGGUAGAAACUAAGAAUUACUUAUGGAUCUUUUUAGGACCUAUUUUGAAAUUUACUGCAAUUAAUGGGGUCACAUAAGAGAAAUUCGACCCAGGGUCUAACAAUACAUAAACAUCAAGAUGAAAGAAAUGAAGCAUACCAGUAACAACAUCUGGUGAAUCCUCCUACUCCUGAUGGGAUGGUAAAGUAUAAAACUAAUUCUGGCACUGACUACCACCGGUACUGGAUAAUGUGCCCUAAGAAGGGACUGGACGACCUAGAGAGGCUGGUGCACUAGUAGCCUGAGUUUAGGGGCGAGCAUCUCUAUUUUUUUGAUUAGCAUGCGGACACUCUUUGAUGUCGUAUCCCAACUUACCACAUUCAUAAUAGCCAUUCUGAACCAACAAACACUCACCAGGAUGAUUCUUAUCACACUUAGCACAUAGAGGAUAACUGGGUUUUCCACUCACACUAUUGUGAGAUCUAGACAUAAAAGUCUUAUCCCACUACUCUGUCUAGCUAUGGGAGUGGGAGCACUGACCGAAGAUGAUACUGGCAUAGAUGAAUGAUUCUAAAACUUUGAAUGAUUUCCCCCUCCAUACUUUGUCUGGCCAUACUUAAACUGCCUGGUUCUAGCCUUCUUAUUUCCCCUCUCUCUUCUCUUUAAAUUUUCUGCCUUAAUCUACUGGGCAUGAAUCAUCAACCUAUCAAGAUCUAUCUCCCCAAUAAGUAUGGCAGUCCUACACUCCUUGACUACCAAACCAGAUACUCUAGCAACAAACUUACUCAUACUCACCCUAGGGUCAGCUAUCGUAUCGAGGGCAUACUUAGACAAUUAGUGGAACUUAAGGUAGUACUCUUUCACUGUCAUUGAGCCCUGACUCAAGUUCAUAAACUCCUCUACCUUAUCUUCUCUCAUUUCACAUGAAAAGAACCUGUAUAGAAACGCAUCCUAAAACACCUACCAACUUAUAGGAGUUGCAUUCUCACCUCUACCAUUCUUCCAAAUAACAACCCAAUCAUACGCUACAUCAUUCAAUCUAUAGGAUGCUAACUCCACACUCUCCUCUUCAGAAACAUACAUAAUUUAGGUGAUCAUUUUCACCUCAUCUAUGUAAACCUGUGGGUCCUCACCUACUUUUGACCCAAAGAACACUGGCAAAUUCAUUCUCAUGAAGUCUCGGAUUUUGGCUUCUACUAAAUCCCCAUUUUGCUGAAAUGGGACUAUCGCCUGAUGGUUGCCAUGAACAUUAACAGUUACAUCUCGGUUCAAUGCCUGAAAGGCGGCCCAAAAAUCAGCAUGGGAUACAUUCUCAUUCAGAAGGUUAGCAGACUAGAGUGGCUGGUUAUUAUUUCUGCAGGCGUUAGCUCAACAAGGAGGCAUAUUUAAUUGUGAUGUAAGAGCAUAAAUUAAAAGCAAAUAGAGAUUCUAUAAGAAAGAUAGAUCAUGAAAGAAAGAGAUAAUUUCCUAAAAUGUCCCAUAACCUCUUUCUCAUAAAUAUGGUACGCUUCACACCCAUGAUUAAGACUCUACAUAAUAUGAAUUGUCUGACUCCCUAGGACUCUUAUAACCUUAGGCUAUAAUACCAAGUUUGUAACACCUCAAAAAUGGGUCUCGAUAUGUCACACAGUUCUUAAGACUACGAGUAUCUUUAAUCUAACCCUGUAAGCCAUCUACUAAAUCUAAAACUCAUAAUAGGGAAGUAUAGAUAUAUAAUCAAGCUAAAAUAUAGAAUUCUUUAUGGGAUAAGCUAAAAGUAUUAGAAUAUAAUAUCUAAAAAUGUUUAACUCAAGAGCCUGAUAAAUCAAUAGAAAAAAUCUAAAGCAAAUCUAGCAGCCUGACAAGCCUCUACUACCAAUGCUAGAGAGUUACUAGGACAAACCCCCAGCUGACUCGAACUGUUUGAAAAUACUGAAUCAUCUAUACUAAUAAGCUAAAAAAUUAAAGGACUGGGUCCCCGAACUAUGAGGACUCACCAACUGUCAGAAUGUAGAUGGAGAUGCUCGAAAUCACUCACAUUGCUGAAACUGAGCUCCUAAACCUAUAUUAUGAGAUAAUGUAGCACAUAGACAUAUAUGUGGAUUAGUAUUUCUGGAUUGUACUGAGUAAAUGGUGGUGAAUUUACAAGUAAAUUAAUAUCUCAAUAUUAUUAUAAAUUUGUAAAAAAAUGCAUGCUAAAUGUAGAUGACUCGCAUAAGCUGGAAUAUCUGAUAACUAAAAAACAUAAUCAUGAAUAGAAAAACAUAUUGCAUAAUUCUAGCCAGUCAUAACAUUUAGUUUCUAAAAUAUGUCCUUGUAUUCUAUCUUUAAAUCAUACUGUAUAAGUGUAGAAGGGACUCACUUUUAUAGCUGAAAUCUGAAGUAUGAAAUCUAGUAGCAAAUGACUUAAAUAAAACAAUAUCUGAAUGAAAUUGUGAGCCUUUACACUUAGUUUCUAAAAACUAUUUUGUUUCAAUUUUUCUGUAGUCUUUACUGUUAGGAUUACUCUUUCUGUAGAAAGGUUCUUCUAAUCAACAUACACUAUGUGAGCUAUCAUAAUAUCCAACGUCUAGUUCCCUUAUGGGUAAACCUCAUAUUGGGGAGAGGUGUCAAUACUCUUGCCAAGGAGUAUAACCUAAUCUAAGUGAUUAUAUCUGUAUCUAUCAUCCAUAUAGAAAUGGGAAUAAUCUGAUAAUCUGAACCUGUAUUGGCUCAUACUUCUAGGCAUGUAAACAUAUCCCACUCCAUGCUAAAUACUACUCCCUUUAAUCUGUAUGCUCAUUCUGUUGGAAAUCCACUUUUAAAAACUAAAUAAGGGUUUACAAUAAAAACCUCUUGUAAAUCUGUUUACUAUAAAUUGUAGCUAAAUCUGUAAAGUGGAUUCCAUAGCUAAGCUGAGAUCAAAAGAUCAAACUUUGUUUAAAAUCUAAAUAUAACAAGCCAUGGGAUACUUAAAAAUAUAUCUUUUCUUGAAAUAACAACAUUCAAACUUGGGCUAGUAACCCAUGCAUCAAAUACAUGUCAAGUCAUCAUCAAACUCAUGCUAAGUAAUAAAAAUAUUGAUAAUUCAGUCUAAAUCUAGAAAUUACUGCAAUACGCAUGAAAAUACAAAAAUAAACAUGCAAAUUCAUCAUCUCAGUUACUUUAAAUCUCAUAACCUUGCAAAUAGAAAUAUUGGGUAUGACCCCUAAUUUAAAACUCAUGUAAUGUCAUACAAAAUCAUCUUUAACUAAUUUUGGGCACAAGGAUGAAAUGAUUAUCCUUGUUGAAAAACUCCACACACCUUAAUUGAUGCAAUUGAUGAGAACACUUGAUUUUGGAUUCCUAUUUGUGUUCUUGGAGAUGGAUUCUUGAAUAUCUUGAAUUGAAAACAUUGAAUUUUGAGUUUCCUUGGAGAAAGAAUGGUGGAAUUUGGAUUUCUUGGGAUUUAAGUUUUGAGUUCUAGGGUUUUCUUUGAGAGAAAAUUGAUGAAAAAUAUGCAUAUAAUGCUUAGAAUUGGAUUAAUCCUCUGUUAUUCACAAUUUGGGGGCUUGGAAAAAAGACUAGAUUGCCCUUUUUAAAAUUACUCGAAACUAGGAAAAAUCCAGAUUUGGCAUCCUACUGCGAUAUGCCACUAUUAUGAUGACUGAUUAAAAAUUGACUAUUGCAAACUGAAACUUCAUCGCGACACGGGGCUAUCGCGGUAAGUCACUAAAAAUUGACAAAUGCCAUUAGGGCUAUCAUCGUGAUGCGGUACCAUCGUGGUGAGAUACUGAAAAUUGACAAAUGGGAACUGAUACUUUACCAUAAAGCAGGCCAAUCGUGGUGGCCCACUGAAAAUUGGACAAGUGUUAUUUUUCAUGUCACUGCGAUGCGGUGCUGUUCUUUUUGAGACACUGUCUUCACUAAAAUUGCCAUAACUUCUCAACCGAGUAUCAGAUUGAGGAAAAAUUGGUAUCAUUGGAAAAAUGACCCAAUUAUCUACACAUUGGUGGUCUAGAGCUGGAAAAUUUUACACGUAUCAAGAGUUAAUCAUUUUUAAAGCUAACCCUUGACAUUAUAGGGGCAAAACUAAGCUAGGUAAAGUAUGGGGCAUUACAACUAGGUUAUGGGAUGCUUUGAAUUUUAAGUUCUUAUGUAUAUUAAAAUUGAGUCCAUGAUUACUUAUCUAAUUCGUGCGUUAAUCCAAGUGCGUAUAUUGUCUUUCCAAGCUUAACUCAUUUCCAUAUUUCAAUUCAUGAAAUUCGUCAGCUUAAUGAAAUGUCUCAUGUUUGGGCCCUUGAACUAUAAAUUUAUAUCACUGUUUUAAUAUUGUUAUCAUAUUUAGUAAUCAUUUAGUGCUGGCAGGUUAUGAAAACCUGAUACCUAUGUGUUUUAUAUGUUUUCAUUUUUAAGUUACAAGUUAGUCAGAAUAUGUUUUAUUAUUUUAUUGAGACUACCAUGUUCAUGUUGAGCAUUUAUCAGUACAGUACCACAUCAUGUUAGAUACAUAACAAUACCAGUGCCAUUCAGUUGGGAGUAAGAUUUAGCACUGAGCGAACCUAGGGAUGGGGCUCACCUAUUAGUAUAGGGUCUGACCUUUAGUAGAAGUCCUUGAGUUUCAAAACUACAUAUCCAACAUAGGUAUAAGAGGUCUUCUUACUAGUAGAGGGUGGACACUCUUUUAGGGGCACCUGCCAGUAGAGGGUGACUCUCCAGUCCUUUGAGACACCAGUUUAGUAGAUCUUUACAGCCAUGUGUUAGUACUCGUGUCAAGGUAUUGACACCCUUCCAACUUGGAUUAUAGGUUAGACCCUAAUUAGCUUUGAUUAGGUUAUGUUGGUUACAUGAUAGUUCCCAUAGUUUCAGCUAGUAGUCAGUCUAUACAAGUUCAGGUUUGCUUGACCAAGUAAUGAGAUUAUUUAGUUACUCAGAUCAUUUCAGUACAUGUUUUACUUGGUCUUGCAUUCUCAGUUUUACAUGUUCAAGCUUUCAUGCUUAGUAUCCAUACAUGACCCUCAAUUCAGUUUUACAACAUUUCAGCUUUAUAUGAGAUUUACAUACAGUAUUCCUAUUUUUAUCGCUUCCCAGCUUCCGUUUUACUUAUUCUACAAAAGCAAAUAUUUUAAAAAAAUAAGUGUAGUGAUUCAGCAGCUUAUAAGAUUAUGUUUAUUAUUCAUGUUUUAAGAUACUUCAACUUUCAGUUUAUUUCAGUCCCUUGGUGAGUCUACUUGCACUUAGCAUGCAUGUUUUUAAGAUUGCGUAUGUAAUCAAUUUUACUUAUUGCAUUCACCCCCACUUACUCAGUACAUUCUAGAAGUACUGAUCCACAUAUAUGUCUAUCUGAUACAUUGUCUUAUAAUGUAGGUACCAUUUAUAGCCCACACAUCAUAAUAGGACAGUUCGCAGUUUCCAUUCAGUAGGUGAUGAGUUCUCUUAUUUUAGGGGCUUCAAUUAGUUAUAGCUCAUGUAAUAUACUUUUAUUAUUCUUAUGUAUUUACUUAUGGUAGUUGGAGGCAUGUCCCAGCCACUUACAGUCAGUAUAGUAGAGGCUUCACAGACAGUUAGUCAAAGUCACUCAUGUAAUUCAUGUUCUCCGUUCAGAUUUAUCGUGUUGUGAACCUUUUUAGUAUCACAUGUAUUCAGUUUUUCUGAUGAUUAUGCUUCCGUUUAGAAAAUUUAGCUUAUAUAAUUAAUUUAACUUGGAUGCUCAAGUAUCAUGCCAGCUCAUAGGUUAGCUUAGGAUCAGUUCUGGUUCUAAGCACUAUGUUACGACUAGGGGUAGUCUUGGGUCAUGACAAACUUGGUAUCAGAGCCCAGAGUUUAAGUGUCUUAGGGUGUUUAUGAAGUUGUGUCCAGUAGUCUUCCAAAAUAGUAUGGAGACAUCUGUAUUUUUCUUCGAUAGGCUAUAGGGCAUUUAAGAAAUAUUUCCCUUCUUUCAUUCCUCAGAUCGUGCUAUAGAAAGGUUCUCUAAGAAAUUUAUAUAGAUUCUCAUCAUGCUCCAUUCAUGUAAGAUCUUCUUUAUUUUCAAGGUAAUAGAAAUAGUGAAGCUUAAAUUCCUAUUGAUAUUAUGUUUUUAGAUAGUCCUCAUAGAUAGCUAUGGGAUUACAUGUGGGCUUGAAAGUAUCCCAUCAGUGACCUUAUGUUCUAAACUUUAAAAGUGUUCAUUCUUAUUCAUUUAAAGUCGUGCAUUGAGCCGAAGUUAAAUGUUCCCUCAAAUCCCUUCUCAAAAUCCUAUGACAGUAUGCGAUCUAGAGUUGGAAGCAUAAACCCAAAAGUUUAGCAACAGUAAAGUAGGGAUAGUGUUUAUCUAGAUUUAGUAGAUUAUGUAUCCGUGGGGCUAGUUGUAUGAAAGGUGAACUAAUAGGCUUGAAACAGUGUUACGUAAGAAUUUAAGUUUAUUGUUUCAAAGUUAAGCAUGAUAGUAUGGUUAUGAUCUAGAGGUGUACCCAAGGCAAUAUGGGAUUGUAUUAUUCCUAAGUUUUUUCUUAAUGUAUGUGCUUAGAUAGUACCCUUGAGUUGCUAUGUGCGAAUGAGGAUAGUAAUGUAGUAUAUGAUGUUAUUACCAGCUAAUUUAUAGGCUAUAUAAAGCUUAAAGUUGUAUCUUAGAAAGAAGUAUUAGAAGUGGGUUUACAAUUUCAGGUGUAGUCUUUUAGGGCGAGUUUAUUAUUAAUGUGUUUUAUUAUAUAUCGAACCCUAGAGUAAAAUGGUUGCAGUUCAGUUUAGAGUUUAUUUAUAAGGUCCACAGACUUAGGAUGAUGGCUUUAAUCUAAGGGGGAGAUGAUAGAAUAAGAAACCAGGUCAGACUCUUAGAUUCUAGUAGUGAUGCCAGUGUAUUGUAGAACAUCAGUAGGGGAGGAAGAUGCCCGACCUAUUCCUAUCUCUGUGAAAAGUUUUAUACUUUAGUUAUCAUGACAUCUACUCGUUCUUUACAUUUUAUCUCCAUGAUAAUAGCUUAUAUUUGUGCAUUUUCCAUAUAAUCAUAUACGCUUCCAGUUCCUAGUAUGAGGAGUUCCAGUUCACUCAUCAGUACAAAUCAUAUUCCAUGAAAUUAUGAACUCAAACUCAGGUCAUGUAGCUUAUAACUCAUGUACUCAUGCUUUACAGAAUAUUCAAUUCCAGGUACUUAUGGUACACCCUUAAUGACUAGCAAAAUUUAGAUUAUGUCAUGUAUUCCCUCAAUUUUGAUCCCUUUAAUGAAUUCAUGCCUUUGAUACUCUAUUCCCCAAGCGUCAGUUAAAUGUCAAAGUUAGGAAUAGUAUUCUUUCAGUCUUCAGGAUCCCAUGUUCUAACUUUUCAGUGGCCUCUCCUUAGGUUAAGGUAAUGAAAAAUUGAUGAUCAAUUGCUUAGAUGGAAGAGAGUAAAUGUUCCUUGUUGAGGAAAAAUUGUUGUAUGCUUUUUUUAUAUAAGGCUAUAAGGUUGAAUAAAUAUUGAGUCAAAACUUUUGGUAUAUGUCAUGGUUAUUUGAGUGAUGUUGGGUGUAUUUAUGCAUUUUUGUGUCACUAUUCUAGUCUUUUUUAGCCUUGUUUUAAGGAUAAUUCAUGUUCUUAGUGUGUUGAUAAUGAUAUAAAUAUGUAUAUAAGUGUCCAAGUAUGUAUUUACAAUGAUUAAUGAUGAUUUCAAACAAGUUUUGAUUCAAAUUGAUCAGUUAGAAUUCAACCAAGAAAACUAGUGUGACUAGCUUGAGCUAGGUGUUUGUCUAGUCUAUCGUGUUAGGUUCUAACAUAUUUAAUGAGUUCCUAAGGUUGUUAUUAUGUAUUUAUAUGUGAAAAAACUUGUUGGUAAUGUUCAAGGAUCAAUUGGAUCACGACAAAUGUCAAAACAAUAAGUUAGAAAUCAAAGUGAAUAAAGCCUAUGCUUAGCUAGUGUUUCUAGUUCUCCGUCUUGGAUGUUGUGUUGUUUUGAGAUCUAAAUUGUUGUGUUUAAUGCUAUAUGACUCUUUUUGAAUGGAUUAUGAUGAUAUAUGAAGGAUAUACAAGCUUCAAAUCAAGUGGAAACAACUCAAAAAGUCUUGGAAUGGAUCACGGAAGCACAAUACGCUACUUAACACCAAUUUGGACACCUGGAAUGUCCAGGGAGAGUGAUGGUGCAUUUGAAGGAGAUUUGGAUUGUGCAGCACUUCAAAUGGUUUAGAAGGCACCAAAACAGUGAACUAAGGCGAUAUGGAGGCGACACCUUGCCUGGAGCUACGCUAAAACUAGGGUGCAGCCUUGCCUGGAGUGGGGCUAUAGCCAGGGGAGCACCCUCUCCACUCCUGGGCUCAAUAACUAAAGUUUUACAACUCAUACACGGUCUUGGCUUACUCCUAUACUAUAAAUACAUGUUUUAUCAUGUUUUAUAUACUUUUGGACAUCUUGGAGCAUUGGAGGCUACCAUAACUUCUUUUUAGGUUUUAUCAUUCUUUAAUUUAGUUUUUUUAUGGUUUGUAUCAUCAAUCCAAGGGAUUGGAUGAUGAAUAUUUCUAUGAAAGUCUAAAACUCUUUUUUUUAGGGUUAAGGCCAAGAUUAUGACUACUUUCAUUUUGAAUUAAUUUUAUUUAAUUGCUUAUCA